GUUCUAUAAAAAAAAAAAAACCAUAGAUUUAUCAUAUUAUAAUAUUCGUCAUCUGUGGUAUACGACAAUCGAUGACAUUCGUCGAAGAUGAUUAACAAUUCUAUAAUAGUCUUAAUGAACAGUACUGAAGUACAUGACAAAAUCACGAUUGAAGAACGAUAUGAAGAAAAUUUGCAGUUUCUUCGGCGACGGUGCACUACUACGUAUAGUCUGAAGAUUGACACAACUCGGUUUCACGGGAACAGUCGACGCUUAAAUCUUGCCAUAAUAUCGGAAAAACAAAAAAAGUGAAAUAAUUACGCUAUAACCCGGAGGACGAUUGGCAGUAUCAUUAAGAAGCUCAUCUGAAUAACACAAAUAAGUGUCGCAAGGCUGUGUUUGUUUAAUAAUAUAAUUUUUUGAACAGUAGUACAGUAUAUUAUGAAUAUUUACUUAAAUUAUAUUUAAUUUUUAUGGUUUUUUUUUCAGAUAAUAUACUGUACUACGGUUUUAGGUGUUCUUUUUAUUUUAAUAAUACGUUGAUAAAUUACCAAUUUUUUCAAUUUUUUUUUCUUAUCACAAAGCUAGUUCGUCUUUGUGUAUGUUUAAAUUUAUAUUUUUUUAUAGUUAUUGUGCUGUUUAACUUUCUUACAAAAGAGAGUGAGGAAUUAAAAAGGUGGCCACCGAACAGAAAGUUAAACUGCAAUAUACUAUAAUCUUUUUAGUUCUUGUUUACAUUUUUAACUAAUAAAUUAUGAAUAUAAAAUUUCAAAUUAAUUUAAAUUCAAAAAUAAAAGAACACCAACAUAGAUUUCUUAAACAUUAAAAUUUUACUAUAAGUUUAAAUUUAAUUUAAUUAGCACAUUAGUUGAAGUUUUAUAGGAACCGAACAUUUGGCUGGAUCAUGGACUAUCCACCGACGGAGAAUUUGUCAUUGAGCUGAUGGGAAAUGUGUCGGCACUCGGCUUCAUUUCAACUUGGAGGAAGAUUGGCAGCAGCAAAAAGAAAUUCAACUGAUAAUCAACUGUCCAAAUGAAGAAGAAUUUGUCACAAAGCUGAUGGGAAAUGUGUCAGCACUCGGCUUCGUUUCAAACCGGAGGAAGAUUGGCAGCAGCAAAAAGAAAUUCAACUGAUAAUCAACUGUCCAAAUGAAGAAGAAUUUGUCACAAAGCUGAUGGGAAAUGUGUCGGCACUCGGCUUCGUUUCAACCCGGAGGAAGAUUGGCAGCAUCAAUAAGAAGCUCAUCUUAAUUUAGUUGUCCCCCCUUUACGCAUUAGCGCUCAUCUCUCAUCCACUCAUCCAACACAUUCACUAUCGCCGGCCGGCAACACACAUAUAUUAUACACAUUACCCGUUUUAUAU